UCUGCCGCUCAGCCGCCUGGCCCCUGCCAGCCUCAACUUAAUUCGCAGCAAAUCUGAGUAUUUUACGUAAAGCAUGGAAUACAGAAAACAACAAAAAUCUUCAGCCAGUGCUUUGAUCUCAUUUGAAAUUCUACAGAUUUUGUAGCUUCGCUGACGUGGUCAUCCUGUUGCCUGUCCCUGCUGGCCACUCUGUCACAUGGUGCUCUCAGGCUG